UGCCCUGAAGCCUGAAUGCAGUCAGUCAGCUCUAGAGGGGAAUGCCACCUGCAGAAAGGAUGAGAACCAUCUGCAUCAUGGGGCCUGGGGGCCAUGGACCACUGUCUGAGUGAUGAGAGCAAUUCACAUCUGCCAAAAGCAAAUGAUGUGUUGGCUUACUGUAAAUUCCUUGUCAAGUCCAGAGUUUAGGAUGGACUUCAGUCAUUCUCUUGAACUUUCUUCACAAGCAUGACAACCACAACAUGUUAAGAAAAGCCCUGAACCAAGAGAGCGAGCUGCGUGAUGCUUUGGCUGCAAUAAUGGCUAUCAUCAGCCCUGCAAUCAAUUUUCAAGUCACAGUACUGAAUUUUUUCCACCUCCUGUGGUCUCACACAUGGACUUCAUGAAACGCAUUACCAGGACUUCUAAAAGGAAGGAAAAACGAGGGAACAAAUUGACUAGUUAUUAAGAACGGAGCUAUUUCCCUGAUGAAACGUGACUCAUACUGACAAUGGAGAUUCAGAGCACUCUACAGGUUUAAUAAUCAUAAGUAAUAUUUCAGCAGUGAUAAGCGAUGCCUGAGAAAGGAAAAUUUUGAAUGGAAAGAAAAUCUGCCUAAGUUUGUUCAGACAAUUUUGUAUCUU